CACGUAGGGCGCAAGCGUUGUCCGGAAUUAUUGGGCGUAAAGAGCUCGUAGGCGGACUGUCACGUCCGCUGUGAAAAGCUAGGGCUUAACCCUGGCCUUGCAGUGGAUACGGGCAGACUAGAGGUAGGUAGGGGAGAAUGGAAUUCCCGGUGUAGCGGUGAAAUGCGCAGAUAUCGGGAGGAACGCCGACGGCGAAAGCAAGGUCCUGGACUCGUCCUGACGCUGAGGCGCGAAAGCCAGGGGAGCGAACGGG
rnacentral:rRNA from 1 species